GCUGGCAUAUCAAUAAGCGGAGGAAAAGAAACCAACAGGGAUUGCCUCAGUAACGGCGAGUGAAGCGGCAAAAGCUCAAAUUUGAAAUCCCCCGGGAAUUGUAAUUUGAAGAGAUUUGGGUCCGGCCGGCGGGGGUUAAGUCCACUGGAAAGUGGCGCCACAGAGGGUGACAGCCCCGUGAACCCCCUUAACGCCCUCAUCCCAGAUCUCCAAGAGUCGAGUUGUUUGGGAAUGCAGCUCUAAGUGGGUGGUAAAUUCCAUCUAAAGCUAAAUACCGGCGAGAGACCGAUAGCGAACAAGUACAGUGAUGGAAAGAUGAAAAGCACUUUGAAAAGAGAGUGAAAAAGUACGUGAAAUUGUUGAAAGGGAAGGGCUUGCAAGCAGACACUUAACUGGGCCAGCAUCGGGGCGGCGGGGAACAAAACCACCGGGGAAUGUACCUUUCGAGGAUUAUAACCCCGGUCCUUAUUUCCUCACCGCCCCGAGGCCUGCAAUCUAAGGAUGCUGGCGUAAUGGUUGCAAGUCGCCCGUCUUGAAACACGGACCGA
rnacentral:rRNA from 2 species